ensembl:snRNA U2 U2 spliceosomal RNA
AUCUCUUUUCGGGCUUUUAGCUAAGAUCAAGUGUUGUAUCUGUUCUUACUAGUUUAAUAUCUGAUAUGUCCUCUAUCCCAGGACAAUAUAUUAAAUAGAUUUUUGGAGAUAGGAGAUGUAAUAGGAUUUUGCUCUCUCCAUUCCACACAUUGACCUUGUAUUGCAGUACCUCUAGGAACAGUAGCCCCUUG